AUCACAGUGUUCACUUCAACCGAAUCAAUCUUUCGCCUUUUACUAAAGGUUGCCGUGAAUGGGACACAUCAAUGUGAAUCUCUCAAUUUUUGAGGGCUCUGCCC
rnacentral:snRNA from 1 species